rnacentral:lncRNA from 1 species
AAAUUCAUCAACUAAGUCUUUAUAUUUUAAUGAAUCAUUAAACAAUUAAUAAAUAAAAUUAAAAAUUAAAAAUAAAAGAAAAAUAAGAAAUUAACAAUUACAAAAUAAAAAGAAUCAAUGAUUAAAAAAUGAAAGAAAAUAAUUAAUUAUUUAAUUUCAUUAACAUUUAUGAUAAUAAUAAAAAAAGUAUGCAACAAUAAUUUAAAAAAUAUAACAAGGAGGAUCAAACC